AAGACCACACUGGAAAAUGAAUUGUGCUGUCUUGGCUAACUACUUCUGCUAAGCUUCAAUAGGCUUACGAAACAGACAUGCAGAACCCAGGACCCUGCAGUCACCUUCAGGACUGUUCUAGUCUUACUUUAUGCUGAGGGAGAGCAAAUACUAGUUGCUAUUACUCUAACAAACCCCCAGCUGCUGCUCUUGCAAUCAAAACAAAUGUAAAGCAACUGACUCUUGUCACCAACAUUUUUCACCCUUGUUAUUAGUGGCUUUGACCGAAGAAGUUGAGGAAGCUGAAUCACCAUAGCUCAAUGUUAACAUUGUUUACAUGACCAUGAGCAGCGAGAACUUCUUCUGAAAAACUUAAGCAAAUGGUUUCUUCUGUCUGCAAUGGACAGAGGCUAUUCCCACAUGGGUAAAAAACCCUGUAAUUUCACAGAGGUGCUACAAUAAAACUAUUUUAAGAUUUAAAGCAGGUGGGAAAGCAACCCUCUACAAUGCAGUUACAACUCUUUCUCCACUCUCUUUAAAAACAGGCUCCACAAAUAAUUCUGUAAUGUGUGUAUGGCUGUGGAGUUUUUCUUUUUUAAACUCUACAUUAUGUCGUGAAUUUGUGUCGUGUUUUGCUGUGACAGUCCUUCAGAGGGUAUCUCGGAAUUAAUCUAUAAAACAUCUUAGCUUCUCAGUUGCACAAUUAAAACGUCAAAAUUAUCUACCGCCCACGCUGCAUCGUGCCAAGUUAGAGAAGCUGAAGCUCCCAUUAAAAGGGGAAAGGGGACUUUCAGCACAACUGGAAAUGUGGCCGCUGACACCUUCCACUCUGGACAGGCUUGAGGCCACAGCUGCCCAGAGCCCCCGGCACCCCUCGCCCCGCGGAGCUCCAGGGACCCGUGGCCGCACCACGUUGCAGCGUGGCAGACCUGGCCACCUCUGUUAAUGCUUCUGCCAGAGGACCCCACGCAGCAUGCCCGAGACAAGGGGGUGCGCCACCCAGGUGGGCAAAGCCUCAAGACACCCAGAGAGGAUCUGUGAAGUGCCAGCUGCGGAGAGUCAAGCCACUUCCAGGAUCACCCAGAUGGAGUAGGAGGCAGCGUGAUGAUUAUCUGCAUCAUCGCUUCCUCUAAAAGGAUAUUAAUACUGCCUCUUGAGCAGUAUUACAAGCCAGCAGCAAGGCAUAAUUCAUACUGAUGGUAGCUCUGGCCAAUUUUUCUCCAUUUGGGAGUUGGAUGUGAUGGGGUCCUGAAAUCUGACUUCGGACAAGUUUUGCUCUGAUGUGUCCCCUGCCUUUCUCCAUGUGAAAUGUUCAUUUACUGACACGGUGUUGCCUCUCCACGCCCAGCAUCGUGGCACGCUUCCUCCUCGCUGCCUGCUUUCCUUUGUGAAGAUUUCCUGUCUACUGGCACACGGAUGGAUGCUUUGGGCAUUAAGCAGUGCCCUCACUCUGGCCUAUAAACCUCAUGGGAAAGUCAGCUAGCCGGGGUAGGAGUCAUCUUGUAUGGGCCCCAUUUCUGUAUGAUAAAGGUGAAGGAAAUAAUUAAAAUUUCUCCCUUGAUGCCCAUCUCCUAAAGCAGGUAUCUUCAGCUACCCCAACGCAUCCUUUUUUUCUCUUCUAUAAGGUGACAUGUAAAUAGUUACUCUUUCUAAAAAAGAAAUGAGAGGACACUUGCUCUAUGACAACGUAUUUGCUCUUAAAAGACCACCAAGUGGACAAUGGCCAGGAAUAUCAAACAGGUAAGAUUAAUACCCAUCGGCUUAAUGUUCAUCGGAUCACAAACCAAAGUUUAGCGUGGAAGAUAUUCCUAAAGGAGAGGAACACUAAGACUCACGUUUUGUACUUGGUGCCGAGCAAACAAAUGCACCGACCUGCACACUGUGAACGACCACUGCUGCUCUUGGAAUCUGGCGAGGAAAGAGCAGAAGCCUGAAAGCGGGGUGCAGUAGAAACUAGGGAGGUUCAGAGGGAACUGUUUAUGGAGAGAGAGACGAGGUGGGCAAAAAAUGGAGUUCCGGCUCCUGAGUGUUUUCUUCUAGGCAACUGCUCCGGUUCGGAGCUGGCGGGUGAGGCCGUUGUCUCGCAGGCACGCUGCCCCCCGCUCCCGGCCCCCCUCCCACCUGCCCUCGCGCCUCCUCCCCAGGUUGGGGCUCCCUGCACGGCUGCGCCUGGCGCCAGGCAGGCCCCUUGCCUCCCGGCUCUCCAGCACCAGCUACUUCCACGCCUCCAUAAGCAUUUGAUGUUAAAGCUGGGACAUGAAGAGCCCUUUCCACACUGGGACAAGUCCCCUGAAAAAUCAAAGUUGCUGUUUUGCAUUACCAUUUAAGCCACUAGUGGCCUAAGGAAGCUUGCCAGUCAGCAGCCACCAGUGAGGUAUUUCUCGCACGAAGCCCGUCUCCUAAAUGAUCGACCGCUCCUCCACCGCCCAUUUGCUCUGUGGGAGGUGGAUUUUCAGGGGACCGGGCUGAUCUGCAACGCGAUCGGUGCGAUACGACGGUGACACAAGUUUGGCAACUGCUUUGUGAGAUUCGGGUAGUAUCACGUAAAAAAUGGUUCUCAGAUUCUGCACACAGACAGGUUUAUGUAAAAUAUAUAUAAACAUUUGUCCAAGUUGUUACAGGUUGCAUAAAUAUGGCAUUUUUACUGUUGCAUUUACAGAUGUGCAUGUACAAUGAUGUGCAAAUAAUCACAAUUUGAUUACAAUCUUUGAAAGGUACUUGAACCUUGCAUCCAAGUAACGCAGUGAAUGAAAAAUGCCCACCAAAGGAUUUAAAUAGCAAACUUAGAGCACGGUUUAAAUUCAUAACAAAUUUCAAUGUCUUCUCAGUAAAACUUUCACACAUUUAAAAUAGUUUGUAUUCAUUUUAUUUGUAUAUGUCAAAAUACAAUUUUUUUUUUUUUCCAAAAUAGUGGGUUUUGCAACUAGUUUCAUGCAGAUACAAGGUCUGCUCAGUACUACCAAUAAAAUCAAUAUAGCACAGUAGCCAUUCAUUUUUUUAGAUAUAAAGAAUAAAUAACCUAAAUAUAAAACACUAAAAUAUUAGAAACACGUAUUUAAUCAUUCACAGGCACCCAAACUUUACCAAAUAAAAUCCAGAAUAUGCCUAACUGUCUUGUAACAGAACUCAAUAUGUUGCAGCCAUUCAAUUCUUUAUUUUAUGUUAGCCUAAGACAAUGGAAGUUCCUAUGGUUCAGACCCACCUCUCAUACAGAUCAAUUACAAUAAGAUAUCUCAAACUAUCUGUGUACCUUUAAAAUCAAGAAUCCUGAGCUUGGUAGUAAGAGCAUAACCUUACAUCUUCAAAAAACCAAUCAACAGAGAGAGGACAUCAUGUCUUCCUUACCAAAACAUAUCCCACCCCCGCAAAACUAACCCCCAUCCCCCCAGUAGGCAGUAGAACACAAUGACCUUUUUAAAUGAAGGGGUACAAAUUCACAUUUAAUAUAGUAUACAAUAUAAUCAAUAAUACAAUAGCUACUACAAGCUUUACAAUGUACAAUUUGUUUUAAUGGCUGAUCUGUUCAGUGGUUUUAGGCAAUAAACUAUGUGCCAAUAGGAUGUUGUAUUUUGAAUGGUUUAGUGAAAAUAUAAAAGCUGUUUCUAACAAAAGCGAUCUUCACUUAAGUACUUUUUUGUUUUUAAAGGCCACUGAAAUGUAUAAAAUGGUCUGACAUGUCGCCGUUAUCAAAUUGGAUGCCUUCUCACAUGGCAACAACAGUGCAUAUAAACAUUAAUGUGAGUGUAAUGGGUUAUGUUUUUCAAAUGAUUUAGUACAUUACUUUGGCUAGCACAACAGUUUUGGACAGCACUCAGAUAAAUACAGGUAUGUGAAAUGUAGUGAAGCAGUUAUAUUUAUGCAAUUUUUAUUAUGGUGAACACUAUCAAAUGAAAAAAAAAUGGGAGGAAAAGAUAAUAAAGUAUUUUAUAUAGUUUAGACCUUUUGUAAAGAUAGGGCUCCAUACAAUGUACAAUGUCUAAAUUCUUUAUACCAUAAAAAUUAAUGAACUUUGUUAAACACACUAUUCUGGAGUAGCCUAAUUUGCAUUAACAGACAUUUGCAAUAGGGAAAUAUAUUCAAGCAUGCCACGUGGUGGUCUGAAAAAUCAAACCAGUACACAUUUAUAUAUACAGCAUCACUCAGUACCUGCUCAAAUGAAUGUGACGAUUACAGGAUCUAACAUCUUUCACUACAAACUUUUUUUUUUUUUUUAAAGUGACCAA